GGGGAAUCUUCCGCAAUGGGCGAAAGCCUGACGGAGCAAUACCGCGUGAGGGAGGAAGGCUCUUGGGUUGUAAACCUCUUUUCUCAAGGAAGAAGAAAGUGACGGUACUUGAGGAAUAAGCAUCGGCUAACUCCGUGCCAGCAGCCGCGGUAAUACGGAGGAUGCAAGCGUUAUCCGGAAUGAUUGGGCGUAAAGCGUCCGCAGGUGGGUGUUCAAGUCUGCUGUCAAAGGUCGGAGCUCAACUCCGGAAAGGCAGUGGAAACUGAACAGCUAGAGUGCGGUAGGGGUAGAGGGAAUUCCCAGUGUAGCGGUGAAAUGCGUAGAGAUUGGAAGAACACCGGUGGCGAAAGCGCUCUACUGGACCGCAACUGACACUCAGGACGAAAGCUAGGGGAGCGAAUGGGAUAGAUACCCCAGUAGUCCUAGCCGUAAACGAUGGAUACUAGGUGUUGCUGGUAUCGACCCCAGCAGUAUCGUAGCUAACGCGUUAAGUAUCCCGCCUGGGGAGUACGCGCGCAAGCGUGAAACUCAAAGGAAUUGACGGGGGCCCGCACAAGCGGUGGAGUAUGUGGUUUAAUUCGAUGCAACGCGAAGAACCUUACCAGGACUUGACAUGUCGCGAAUUUCUGGGAGACCAGGAAGUGCCUUCGGGAGCGCGAACACAGGUGGUGCAUGGCUGUCGUCAGCUCGUGUCGUGAGAUGUUGGGUUAAGUCCCGCAACGAGCGCAACCCUCGUUCUUAGUUGCCAGCAUUAAGUUGGGCACUCUAGGGAGACUGCCGGUGACAAACCGGAGGAGGGUGGGGAUGACGUCAAGUCAGCAUGCCCCUUACGUCCUGGGCUACACACGUACUACAAUGCUACGGACAAAGGGCCGCCAGACAGCGAUGUCGAGCAAAUCCCACAAACCGUGGCUCAGUUCAGAUUGCAGGCUGCAACUCGCCUGCAUGAAGGCGGAAUCGCUAGUAAUCGCAGCUCAGCCAUACUGCGGUGAAUACGUUCCCGGGCCUUGUACACACCGCCCGUCACACCAUGGAAGCUGGUAGUGCCCGAAGUCGUUACCCUAACCUUUUGGAGGGGGAUGCCGAAGGCAGGACUGGUGACUGGGGUGAAGUCGUAACAAGGUAGCCGUACCGGAAGGUGUGGCUGGAUCACCUCCUU
rnacentral:rRNA from 1 species